GCCAAUAAUCAAGAAUCUAAGUACAUUUUUAGAUUCAGCAAAUCAAAGAACCUAACUGAUUCAUUUUUUGUCAAAAUCAAACUAAGUUUAAUUUUGGACCCUUUGGACCUUAAUGUAGACCAAUUUGAAAACGGGACCAAAAGUUAAGAAUCUACAUACACAGUCAUGACAGUUAGAUUGGGCAUAUCAAAGAACCCCAAUUAUUCAAUUUUGAUGAAAUCAAACAAAGUUUAAUUUUGGACCCUUUGGGCCCCUUAUUCUGUUGGGACCAAAACUCCCAAAAUCAAUACCAACCUUCCUUUUAUGGUCAUAAACCUUGUGUUUAAAUCUCAUAGAUUUCUAUUUACUUAUACUAACGUUAUGGUGCGAAAACCAAGAAAAAUGCUUAUUUGGGUCCCUUUUUGGCCCCUAAUUCCUAAACUGUUGGGACCUUAACUCCCAAAAUCAAUACCAACCUUCCUUUUGUAGUCAUUAACAUUGUGUUUCAAAUUUCAUUGAUUUCUAUUUACUUAAACUAAAGUUAUUGUGCGAAAACCAAGAAUAAUGCUUAUUUGGGCCCUUUUUUGGCCCCUAAUUCCUAAACUGUUGAAACCUAAACUCCCAAAAUCAAUCCCAACCGUUCCUUUGUGGUCAUAAACCUUGUGUCAAAAUUUCAUAGAUUUCUAUUAACUUAAACUAAAGUUAUAGUGCGAAAACCAAGAAAAUGCUUAUUUGGGCCCUUUUUGGCCCCUAAUUCCUAAAAUGUUGGGACCAAAACUCCCAAAGUCAAUACCAACCUUCCUUUUGUGGUCAUAAACCUUGUGUUAAAAUUUCAUAGAUUUCCAUUCACUUUUACUAAAGUUAGAGUGCGAAAACUAAAAGUAUUCGGACGCCGGACGACGACGACGCCGACGCCAACGUGAUAGCAAUAUACGACGAAAAUUUUUUCAAAUUUUGCGGUCGUAUAAAAAUCAUGAG
rnacentral:lncRNA from 1 species